CAGCCGCCGCGGGAAUACGUAGGGUGCAAGCGUUAAUCGGAAUUACUGGGCGUAAAGCGUGCGCAGGCGGUUAUAUAAGACAGAUGUGAAAUCCCCGGGCUCAACCUGGGAACUGCAUUUGUGACUGUAUAGCUAGAGUACGGCAGAGGGGGAUGGAAUUCCGCGUGUAGCAGUGAAAUGCGUAGAUAUGCGGAGGAACACCGAUGGCGAAGGCAAUCCCCUGGGCCUGUACUGACGCUCAUGCACGAAAGCGUGGGGAGCAAACAGGAUUAGAGACCCGCGUAGUCCCUGUCUCUUAUAC
rnacentral:rRNA from 1 species